GCCAUUACUCUGGCCAGAAGCCAAAAUCUGUCUACAAAACCUCUACCUCAAGUGGGCAAACUCCCAAAAUAAUAUGAAAAUUACACAAAUCCAUACACCCUUCCAAAACCCUAGCAAUCGAUAUAAAUUUGACACCAAAAAUAAUUUCAGGGAAAUUAAUAGAUAAUUAAAAAAAGAUGGAAACUUUACAAACGGCAACACAGAUACAACCCCAACGACGUUGUAGAUCCGCUGCGCUAUUUGGCUGCAACGUCUUGCAUCCAUCCUGCAGAAAAUAAAUUGGAAAAUAUGUCAGGGCUGUGAAUUUGAUGCCCAUGCUUGUUAUCAAGUUGAUAUUGAUGACUCUUACCACCGCAAAUAUGCAUUCCAAUUUUGCUGGGGUUGUGUAAACUAUUUAAUUCAUCCUUCUGUUUUGCACUCCCUACUCUUUUGGUAGACUAUCUCAUCUACAAACAGGUGGUAUAAGAUAAACCUUUCAUAAAAGAAUUGAAUUGGAGUUCAUUACAGCUAAUCAGAACUCCAAAAUAAAAUUGAUUUGAUCAUUACAACUGAAUUCUUUUAGUUUCUGAGCUUAGCCAAAACCCCAAAUACAAAGUAGCUAAAAAACCCUCCAAAAACUUGCUCAUAGAUUCAUCAAACCGCCGAAAAAUAAAAAACCCAGAAGCUAAAAGCAAUAACCCAAAACUCACAAAACUCAAAACGACGACUGAAGACGCCCAAAAAAACCAAAUUGGAAAAGGAUCGACGAAGAACUCACCGAAAUCGAAUCGAAUGGAGAGAAUGAACCAUCAGGAUAUGACGAAUGCGGCAAGCCAGGGGCUACUAUGAUUGAGUUUUGGGUUGUGGAUUUCAGAUUUCUCAUCCGGGGAAAGGAGGAGGAUUCUAGGUUGGGCCAGUUGGGGAAAGCAAGGAGCAGGGAGAAAAAGGAGGAUGCAGAAAAAAGCAAAACGCUUUCUGGGGUUUGACGGAGUCUUAUAGCUAGUUGGAGGAAGAUUGAAGCGGUGGAAAGGAAACAACGAAACCGUGAGAAAUGGAAUGAAAUUGUGAGAGCAAGAUUGAAGCGGUGGAAAGGAGGAUG
rnacentral:lncRNA from 1 species